rnacentral:lncRNA from 1 species
GGCGAGUGUGAAUACCGUCCGGUCAACUUUUUUUGCUCAAAAAUAAUUAUUUUUCCUCUUUUUUUUUUAUAUUCAUAAAAUAUAGUUUAAUAUCUUUCAGGUUUACAAAUAUUAAACAAAUCUAUCGGAUAACAAAAAAGUUAUGACUAUUUAUAUGUCGUCCGGUCAACCGUCCUGUCACUAUCCGGGCAAUCAUCCUGUCAUUAGUGCAACCCCUUGUCUAGUUCCGAAAGGGAAGCAAAGGCUUUAAAAAGAUCGCUAUCAUAUUUAUUUAAGAUAUAUUGAACCAUUUAUUUUUAUUAUAUAGUUAAAACUACCUAAGAAUUAUAAAGGGCUUCAUCAAAACACAGAAAACAGCUGUACUUCCACUCCUCGUUAUCGAGAGGAGCCAUUUUGAAACCCCACAUGACCUCAAAACGUGUUUCCGGUUCUAAUUUUAGAAAAUAAAAUUUUCCGAUUUGAUUUAUUUACCUUUCACGAUGUUUUUAAUGCUGUUGAAGAACUGAAAUAAUACCCUCAGAUAUCGUAGAUUUUAAUUGAAACAUUGAUUUCAACUGUUAAGAACGGCAAAUAGCGUAAAACUGCGGCUUUUAUUGGGACAAUAUUUAUGUAUCCUGAAAGAUACACUCGCCCUGCGCAUCGUGUAUCCUCAAGGAUACAUCCGCCCUGCGCAUUGUGUAUCCUCAAGGAUACACUCGCCGCGAAAGGGUU